rnacentral:lncRNA from 1 species
UUCCGGUAACUCUAUUAUCAUUUCAUCUUCUCAUCUGUCCAUCUUCUUCAAACACUUCUUCUUCUACCUUUCUUAAAUCCGGGCCCCUCAUUACCAUCCAUAUAUAUAUAAAAAAAAGAUUUACGAUUUGAUUCAAAAAAAAAAAAAAGUUCAAAUAUUUGUUUUGUGGAUUGGUGGUGGAAGAGAAAGCCUGCUGGCUGAGGAGAAAUCAAGCCUUUGAGGUGGUUAAAAUGGAUUUCAAAAAUCAAAAAUCUCUUAUCUAUCUAUCUUGAGAAAAAC